rnacentral:rRNA from 1 species
CGGAGGAUCCAAGCGUUAUCCGGAACCAUUGGGUUUAAAGGGUCCGUAGGCGGUUUAUUAAGUCAGUGGUGAAAUCUGGUCGCUCAACGAUCAAACGGCCAUUGAUACUGAUAGACUUGAAUUAUUGGGAAGUAACUAGAAUAUGUAGUGUAGCGGUGAAAUGCUUAGAUAUUACAUGGAAUACCAAUUGCGAAGGCAGGUUACUACCAAUGGAUUGACGCUGAUGGACGAAAGCGUGGGGAGCGAACAGGAUUAGAUACCCUGGUAGUCCACGCCGUAAACGAUGGAUACUAGCUGUUCGGAGCAAUCUGAGUGGCUAAGCGAAAGUGAUAAGUAUCCCACCUGGGGACGUACGUUCGCAAGAAUG